rnacentral:tRNA from 1 species
GGAGGAUUGGCCGAGUGGUUGAUGGCGGCGGUCUUGAAAACCGUUAGGCCCUGUCAAGGGGUCUCGCAGGUUCGAAUCCUGUGUCCUCCGCCA